GAUUGAACGCUGGCGGCAUGCUUUACCCAUGCAAGUCGAACGGCAACGAGGAGAAGCUUGCUUCUCUGUCGGCGAGUGGCGAACGGGUGAGUAUAGCAUCGGAACGUGCCAAGUAGUGGGGGAUAACCAAACGAAAGUUUGGCUAAUACCGCGUAAGCUCCAAGGAGGAAAGUAGGGGACCUAAAUAAGGCCUUACGCUAUUUGAUCGGCCGAUGUCGGAUUAGCUAGUUGGUGGGGUAAUGGCUCACCAAGGCAAUGAUCCGUAGCGGGUCUGAGAGGACGAUCCGCCACACUGGGACUGAGACACGGCCCAGACUCCUACGGGAGGCAGCAGUGGGGAAUUUUGGACAAUGGGGGAAACCCUGAUCCAGCCAUGCCGCGUGUAUGAAGAAGGCCUUAGGGUUGUAAAGUACUUUUGUUAGGGAAGAAAAGCUAGUUUUUAAUAAAAAUUAGUGAUGACGGUACCUAAAGAAUAAGCACCGGCUAACUACGUG
rnacentral:rRNA from 1 species